rnacentral:tRNA from 1 species
GGGGAAUUAGCUCAGAUGGGAGAGCGCGUGGUUCGCAAUCACGAGGCCACCGGUUCGAUCCCGGUAUUCUCCACCA